rnacentral:rRNA from 1 species
UACGUAGGGGGCAAGCGUUGUCCGGAUUUAUUGGGCGUAAAGAGCGUGUAGGCGGUUAGGUAGGUCCGUUGUGAAAACUCGAGGCUCAACCUCGAGACGCCGAUGGAAACCAUCUAACUAGAGUCCGGAAGAGGAGAGUGGAAUUCCUGGUGUAGCGGUGAAAUGCGCAGAUAUCAGGAGGAACACCGGUGGCGAAGGCGGUUCUCUGGGCAUGAUCUGACGCUGAGGAGCGAAAGUGUGGGGAGCGAACCGG